rnacentral:rRNA from 1 species
GACGAACGCUGGCGGCGUGCCUAAUACAUGCAAGUUGAGCGCUGAAGGUUGGUACUUGUACCGACUGGAUGAGCAGCGAACGGGUGAGUAACGCGUGGGGAAUCUGCCUUUGAGCGGGGGACAACAUUUGGAAACGAAUGCUAAUACCGCAUAAAAACUUUAAACACAAGUUUUAAGUUUGAAAGAUGCAAUUGCAUCACUCAAAGAUGAUCCCGCGUUGUAUUAGCUAGUUGGUGAGGUAAAGGCUCACCAAGGCGAUGAUACAUAGCCGACCUGAGAGGGUGAUCGGCCACAUUGGGACUGAGACACGGCCCAAACUCCUACGGGAGGCAGCAGUAGGGAAUCUUCGGCAAUGGACGAAAGUCUGACCGAGCAACGCCGCGUGAGUGAAGAAGGUUGUCGGAUCGUAAAACUCUGUUGGUAGAGAAGAACGUUGGUGAGAGUGGAAAGCUCAUCAAGUGGCGGUAACUACCCAGAAAGGGACGGCUAACUACGUG